rnacentral:lncRNA from 1 species
CCGAACAUUGCCCCCCAGUCUCUAAUCAUAACAUAUUUAUGAUUGGAGACUUGAAAGGUCAGGACUUGAACGGUCAUGACAGAUAAUGAUGAACUGUCCGUGGAAGCCGUACAGUCACUUUUUGAUAUUUGAAACGUUGCACGCCUUUUCACGCCUGGGCCCACCUCAAGUAUUUAAUAGCCGCCUUGGGGUUCCGUGCCGUACUCCUUAUAAAAACUCCCCUUCCCCCCUCAUUAUCACUUUUACUGACUCCUUGCUUUCAAAUUCUCUGGCAAGGCGAUUUUCGGCAAGCUUGUCUCUUACCCAAUCUGCACCAUUUUCCUCAACUGUACUGAAAUUUGAGUGCUAUUUUUGCUUAUCUCCCCUCCAAAACUUCUUAUUUGCAUCACAUUCUUUUUAAAUGGCCAAAUCCAGCACUAUUCCGGCCACUGAGCCUAUCACCGCUACCUCCACCG